GACGAACGCUGGCGGCGUGCUUAACACAUGCAAGUCGAACGGUGAAGCGCCUUCCUUUUUGGUGGGUGUGGAUGAGUGGCGAACGGGUGAGUAACACGUGAGUAACCUGCCCCCUUCUUCUGGAUAACCGCAUGAAAGUGUGGCUAAUACGGGAUAUUCUGGGUCUGUCGCAUGAUGGGUCUGGGAAAGAUAUUGUUUCGGUGGGGGAUGGGCUCGCGGCCUAUCAGCUUGUUGGUGGGGUGAUGGCCUACCAAGGCGGUGACGGGUAGCCGGCCUGGGAGGGUGGACGGUCACACUGGGACUGAGACACGGCCCAGACUCAUACGGGAGGCAGCAGUGGGGAAUAUUGCACAAUGGGCGAAAGCCUGAUGCAGCGACGCCGCGUGAGGGAUGGAGGCCUUCGGGUUGUGAACCUCUUUCGCCAGUGAAGCAGGCCUGCCUCGUUUGUGGGUGGGUUGACGGUAGCUGGAUAAGAAGCGCCGGCUAACUACGUG
rnacentral:rRNA from 1 species